CGCAAAUCAGUACUGCGUGAGUAGUUUAGGGCGUGUGGGUGUGGCGUUGGAGUGGAAGGCAUCAGAUGAUCCUGAAAACUGCAUCCUUGUAUAUUAUUUUAUAGACAAGUUCCAGAAAAUUCUGAGCCCGAACGAAUCCUAGAUCUCCGUCCUCGUGGUUCUGCUAUUCCUGUUUGCAUUAUCCAAUGUAUCUUGCAGUUCAUCCGAAGACUCUUCUAAGCAAAGAAUUAGGGCAGAACCUUCCCAGUAUGGCUCUGCGCUUAAGUUUGUCGUGAGGAAACGCUCAAAUGCAAAACUGCUUUGAUCGUAUGUCAAGAACACAGGUGGCCAAAUGCAUUGCAGCGCCCUCACUACUGUUCAAGCAACCUCUUGAACAACAGAUGACUGGAGUUCUGUCAGAUGGAGACAUCCUGAAGGGGUUAAGGGCUUUGGGGGUAGAUAGAAUUCAAUCUGGUGCUGAUUUAGAAAAAAAUAAAUCCCUCCUUUCAUGGAAGUAA